AGUUUGACCCUGGCUCAGGAUGAACGCUAGCUACAGGCUUAACACAUGCAAGUCGAGGGGCAGCGAUGAAGAAAGCUUGCUUUCUUCAGGCGGCGACCGGCGCACGGGUGAGUAACGCGUAUCGAACCUGCCUCAUACUCAGGAAUAGCCUUGCGAAAGUAAGAUUAAUGCCCGAUGUUAUUAGAGUAUCACAUGAUACUUUAAUUAAAGAUUUAUCGGUAUGAGAUGGCGAUGCGUCCCAUUAGCUUGUUGGCGGGGUAACGGCCCACCAAGGCAUCGAUGGGUAGGGGUUCUGAGAGGAAGGUCCCCUACAUUGGAACUGAGACCGUCAUCCUACGGGAGGCAGCAGUGAGGAUUUGUCAUGACGCAGUCUGACAGCAGUAGCGUGCAGAGACGCCCUCUGGGUGUAACUGCUUUAGUGGGAUAAAGUGCACCACGUGUGGUGUUUUGUAUGUACAUCAGAAAAGACGCUAUCCGUGCAGCAGCGCCGUAAUACGAAGUCAGCGUAUCCGGAUUUAUGGGUUUAAAGGGAGCGCAGGCGGACCUUUAAGUCAGCUGUGAAAUACGGCGGCUCAACCGUCGAACUGCAGUUGAUACUGGAGGUCUUGAGUGCACACAGGGAUACUGGAAUUCAUGGUGUAGCGGUGAAAUGCUCAGAUAUCAUGAAGAACUCCGAUCGCGAAGGCAGGUAUCCGGGGUGCAACUGACGCUGAGGCUCGAAAGUGCGGGUAUCAAACAGGAUUAGAUACCCUGGUAGUCCGCACAGUAAACGAUGAAUACUCGCGAUUUGCGAUACACAGUAAGUCGCCAAGCGAAAGCGUUAAGUAUUCCACCUGGGGAGUACGCCGGCAACGGUGAAACUCAAAGGAAUUGACGGGGGCCCGCACAAGCGGAGGAACAUGUGGUUUAAUUCGAUGAUACGCGAGGAACCUUACCCGGGCUUGAACUGCCAGUGACGGUAGCAGAGACGCUACUUUCUUCGGACACUGGUGGAGGUGCUGCAUGGUUGUCGUCAGCUCGUGCCGUGAGGUGUCGGCUUAAGUGCCAUAACGAGCGCAACCCUCAUUCUCGUUUGCCAUCAGGUCAAGCUGGGCACUCCGGGGAUACUGCCAUCGUAAGAUGUGAGGAAGGUGGGGAUGACGUCAAAUCAGCACGGCCCUUACGUCCGGGGCUACACACGUGUUACAAUGGGCGGUACAGAGGGCAGCCACCUAGUGAUAGGGAGCCAAUCCUCAAAGCCGUUCUCAGUUCGGACUGGAGUCUGCAACCCGACUCCACGAAGCUGGAUUCGCUAGUAAUCGCGCAUCAGCCAUGGCGCGGUGAAUACGUUCCCGGGCCUUGUACACACCGCCCGUC
rnacentral:rRNA from 1 species